rnacentral:lncRNA from 1 species
GCUUCCUUCCAAGGAAUAAAGAGUUUGCUACGAGCCAAGGAAGUGCCCAGAAAAUGCCAAUUUAUGUCACACUAAUAUCUUUCUUAAAGCUGAACGUGGACUUCAGAAAUGUAAACUUUUGGCUCCAGUGAGCACAGCCAGCCUGGAGGGAUUGAUAUUAGGUUCUUCUGAAGGACUGAGGGAAAUUUGAGAAGAGAUCAAAUUAGACACCCAGUAAUUAGAAAAUGUACUGACACCAGAGUUUUAUUCACAAGAGUGGUGGGGUCAACUUUUCCAUGGCCCCUGAUGUGAACUCAGAAAAAUGGCAACCUGAAAACAGUGUUUGGAAAUGAUUUCACUGGAGACAGACAGACACAGCAAAAGCUGGAAGGAAAGGGAAU